rnacentral:rRNA from 1 species
GACGAACGCUGGCGGCGUGCUUAACACAUGCGAGUCGAACGGAAAGGCCCUGCUUUUGUGGGGUGCUCGAGUGGCGAACGGGUGAGUAACACGUGAGUAACCUGCCCUUGACUUUGGGAUAACUUCAGGAAACUGGGGCUAAUACCGGAUAGGAGCUCCUGCUGCAUGGUGGGGGUUGGAAAGUUUCGGCGGUUGGGGAUGGACUCGCGGCUUAUCAGCUUGUUGGUGGGGUAGUGGCUUACCAAGGCUUUGACGGGUAGCCGGCCUGAGAGGGUGACCGGCCACAUUGGGACUGAGAUACGGCCCAGGCUCCUACGGGAGGCAGCAGUGGGGAAUAUUGCACAAUGGGCGGAAGCCUGAUGCAGCAACGCCGCGUGCGGGAUGACGGCCUUCGGGUUGUAAACCGCUUUCGCCUGUGACGAAGCGUGAGUGACGGUAAUGGGUAAAGAAGCACCGGCUAACUACGUG